rnacentral:rRNA from 1 species
UACGAAGGGGGCUAGCGUUGUUCGGAAUUACUGGGCGUAAAGCGCACGUAGGCGGCUUUGUAAGUUAGAGGUGAAAGCCCGGGGCUCAACUCCGGAACUGCCUUUAAGACUGCAUCGCUUGAAUCCAGGAGAGGUGAGUGGAAUUCCGAGUGUAGAGGUGAAAUUCGUAGAUAUUCGGGAGAACACCAGUGGCGAAGGCGGCUCACUGGACUGGUAUUGACGCUGAGGUGCGAAAGCGUGGGGAGCAAACAGG